rnacentral:lncRNA from 1 species
CUCAAAGUGCCCCGUUUCUCUACAGCAAAUUAGACUUUUUGCCUACUUUGGUGCUGAGAAGCCCAAACUACCAACCAAAGCUUUGGUUUUCUCUGAGGGCUGUCGGUACAGACGAGAGGCCGGGAUUGUUCUCUAGCAACCCCUGCCGGUUGACAAUAAAUGCCAGAAACUGACCCAGAGACAUUAGUUCAUCCCCACGUUGGAGGGAAGUAAAAGAUGUCAGGCUGAGGGAGAGCAGGUAGCACCUGAACAGAGAGUGUUGGAUGCAGAUGUGAGUUCUGGAACUGUGAUGGUCAUUUUGUUACCACGAGCAGACCCUGCCUGAAGAUGAAGGAAUGUAGAACUGACAAAGACACAGAAAGAUGGAGCCAGAAUCCUGAGUUCAUCCAUCAUACAAGAUUGAUGAUCCCUGCAGAAGUUAAAAGUCUAGGAAUCAGAAAUUUGUGAAUGUGUUUUGCCUCUUCAAUUGCCUCUACUGAUCAAGAAAGCAAAGACCCCCCUAAACUUCCGGGCAAAAAGUGAAGAAUAAAUUUGAUUUGUGUUAGUGCCAAUACUGUUUUGAGUAUGUGUGUAGCUUUGAUGUGAUUAAAAACAUGGUCAUUCUUCUGGUUUAAAAUAUUGAAAAUUAAUAAAU